AGCUGGUUGAAUCCGGGUCA
rnacentral:miRNA from 1 species